GGAAGAUGCUACCUAAGGGAAGGUAACCAAGCUUGAAACUUGGAGUACAGUUAAAUGUAGGGGUUCGAUUCCUCCAUCUUCCG
rnacentral:tRNA from 1 species